GGACUCUAAUUAUUAAACUUCAUUAUUUGAAUUCUACUAAACUUCCUAAAUUAAUUAUAUUUCCUAAAUUAAUUAUAAUUCCUAAUUCCAAUGGUCUUGGACUCUAACAGUUUUUCUGGGAUUGUUAUUUGUACUCAAGCUAGGAAUGCUGUUCAAUUGAUUGGAUUAAAAUGUUGCAAAAUUUAUGCUUUGUUUGGUCACUGAGAAAGUGGAAGGAAAGUGAAAGGGUUUUGUAUGGCGGAUGGCUGAAGUGUCACGAAAAGAAGAAAAAUCUGAGAGAAUUUGUUGAAGUUUAGAAGAGAUAUAUCCUUUAUUCUACUAAUAUACUCUGCUGUUGUGCAUCAGGCAAGAUAUUUU
rnacentral:misc_RNA from 1 species